AGUGAACGCUGGCGGUAGGCCUAACACAUGCAAGUCGAACGACAGCACAGUAAGAGCUUGCUCUUACGGGUGGCGAGUGGCGGACGGGUGAGGAAUACAUCGGAAUCUACUUUUUCGUGGGGGAUAACGUAGGGAAACUUACGCUAAUACCGCAUACGACCUACGGGUGAAAGCAGGGGAUCUUCGGACCUUGCGCGAUUGAAUGAGCCGAUGUCGGAUUAGCUAGUUGGCGGGGUAAAGGCCCACCAAGGCGACGAUCCGUAGCUGGUCUGAGAGGAUGAUCAGCCACACUGGAACUGAGACACGGUCCAGACUCCUACGGGAGGCAGCAGUGGGGAAUAGUGGACAAUGGGCGCAAGCCUGAUCCAGCCAUACCGCGUGGGUGAAGAAGGCCUUCGGGUUGUAAAGCCCUUUUGUUGGGAAAGAAAAGCAGCAGGUUAAUACCCCGCUGUUCUGACGGUACCCAAAGAAUAAGCACCGGCUAACUUCGUG
rnacentral:rRNA from 1 species